UACGUAGGGGGCAAGCGUUAUCCGGAUUUACUGGGUGUAAAGGGAGCGUAGACGGCGAAGCAAGUCUGGUGUGAAACCCCGGGGCUCAACCUCGGGCCUGCAUUGGAAACUGUUUUGCUUGAGUGCCGGAGAGGUAAGCGGAAUUCCUAGUGUAGCGGUGAAAUGCGUAGAUAUUAGGAGGAACACCAGUGGCGAAGGCGGCUUACUGGACGGCAACUGACGUUGAGGCUCGAAAGCGUGGGGAGCAAACAGG
rnacentral:rRNA from 1 species